GUUAUCAAUAAGAGAAGCAAAUGGAUCUACACGAAAUAAUUUGAGCUAAUUACUUGUAGAUUUUAGUUAUUAAACUGUGUGUUGCAAAACACAGGCUUCAACAAGUAAUUAGGGGUGAUAGGCCAAGCAAAAGUUAAGAUAUCUUGAUUUUAAGGAAACACAUUUAGUGUAAAAACAAACCUGGAGUGAUAAGGCUCUAAGUAAAAAUUAACUUUUAUAAAUACACUUAACUAUGACUUUAACUGGUGAUAUAUAAGGAUUAUAUUAUUUAAAUAAGUAAGUUUAUUUUUAGUACUUAAAUUGUAAUUACUAAAUAUUUAUAAUGUUAACAUGAGUAGUAGAAGAGAUUGACAAAAUGAACUCGGCAAAUUUUUCUUCAACUGUUUACCAAAAACAUAACUGCGUGGAAUAACGCGUAGCUUUUUCUGCUCAAUGAAUAUUAAAUAGCCGCAGUACCCUGACUGUGCAAAGGUAGCAUAAUCAGUUGGCUUAUAAUUGAAGUCUGGAAUGAACGAAUAUAUGGGGAAUUACUGUGUCUUGUCAAGAUGCCGAAAUUAUUUAGUAAGUGAAAAUCCUUAUAUAUACUUAAUAGACGAGAAGACCCUAGAAAUUUUAAUUAUAUUUUGCUGGGGCGGCAUAGUAACAUUAAACUUACAAUACCUAACAUGAAUCUAUAUUAGAGGUAAGACUAAUUACUCUAGGGAUAACAGCAUAAUUUAGCAAAGAUUGUGACCUCGAUGUUGGACUAGGAAGUUCAAGUCUAGAAGACGUAG
rnacentral:rRNA from 1 species